rnacentral:rRNA from 1 species
AACGAACGCUGGCGGCAGGCUUAACACAUGCAAGUCGAGCGCACCGCAAGGGGAGCGGCAGACGGGUGAGUAACGCGUGGGAAUCUACCCAUCUCUACGGAACAACUCCGGGAAACUGGAGCUAAUACCGUAUACGUCCUUCGGGAGAAAGAUUUAUCGGAGAUGGAUGAGCCCGCGUUGGAUUAGCUAGUUGGUGGGGUAAUGGCCUACCACGGCGACGAUGCAUAGCUGGUCUGAGAGGAUGAUCAGCCACACUGGGACUGAGACACGGCCCAGACUCCUACGGGAGGCAGCAGUGGGGAAUAUUGGACAAUGGGCGAAAGCCUGAUCCAGCCAUGCCGCGUGAGUGAUGAAGGCCCUAGGGUUGUAAAGCUCUUUCAACGGUGAAGAUAAUGACGGUAACCGUAGAAGAAGCCCCGGCUAACUUCGUGCCAGCCGCCGCAGUAACAC